UACGGAGGAUGCAAGCGUUACCCGGAAUGAUUGGGCGUAAAGCGUCCGCAGGUGGCUGUGUAAGUCUGCUGUUAAAGAGUGAGGCUCAACCUCAUAAAGGCAGUGGAAACUACACGGCUAGAGUGCGUUCGGGGCAGAGGGAAUUCCUGGUGUAGCGGUGAAAUGCGUAGAGAUCAGGAAGAACACCGGUGGCGAAAGCGCUCUGCUAGGCCGCAACUGACACUGAGGGACGAAAGCUAGGGGAGCGAAUGGG
rnacentral:rRNA from 1 species